rnacentral:tmRNA from 6 species
GGGGAUGUAUCGUUUCGACAGGAUUGCACUUUAAAAACUGCAAGCCGAACACGAUUCUAAAGUGCGUUAAACUUUGAAUCAAAAUUAAGUGCAGACAGAGAUGUCGCACCGGUUCGACCAGCUUUGGCUUUUGCAUAAAGCUUAAGAACCUGUCUCUUUGGCUUUUUCUCGGUGAAGCCAUUGGGGCACAAACUCAGCCGGGAGUAGAUUCUUAAUUCUGAUCAGAUUAAAAAUCGAAGCUAUCGAUCUUUGUUUGAGUUUCGCUCGUCAAUCGGCUAAAAAUUCAAACGAGACUUUAAAGAUUUCCGCCACAGGCGGACUAGCUUUUAGCUUGGACUAUGCUUGUAGAUGUUUUUUAUUUGUAAUCUUGGACGAGGGCUCAAAACCCUCCAUCUCCACAU